UACGUAGGGUGCAAGCGUUGUCCGGAAUUAUUGGGCGUAAAGAGCUCGUAGGCGGUCUGUCGCGUCUGCUGUGAAAAUCCAGGGCUCAACCCUGGACCUGCAGUGGGUACGGGCAGACUAGAGUGCGGUAGGGGAGAUCGGAAUUCCUGGUGUAGCGGUGAAAUGCGCAGAUAUCCGGAAGAACACCAGUGGCGAAGGCGGCUCUCUGGGACGGUACUGACGCUGAGGCACGAAAGCGUGGGGAGCAAACAGG
rnacentral:rRNA from 1 species